GCAUCGAUGAAGAACGCAGCGAAAUGCGAUAACUAAUGUGAAUUGCAGAAUUCAGUGAAUCAUCGAGUCUUUGAACGCACAUUGCGCCCCCUGGUAUUCCGGGGGGCAUGCCUGUCCGAGCGUCAUUGCUGCCCUCAAGCCCGGCUUGUGUGUUGGGUCCUCGUCCCCCUCCCCGGGGGGACGGGCCCGAAAGGCAGCGGCGGCACCGCGUCCGGUCCUCGAGCGUAUGGGGCUUUGUCACCCGCUCGAUUUAGGGCCGGCCGGGCGCCAGCCGACGUCCAACCAUUUUUCUUCAGGUUGACCUCGGAUCAGGUAGGGAUACCCGCUGAACUUAAGCAUAUCAAUAAGCGGAGGAA
rnacentral:rRNA from 1 species